AUGGUGGAAAAUAAGUAUUUGGUCAAUAACAAAAGUUUAUCUCAAUACUUUGUUAUAUACCCUUUGUUGGCAAUGACAGAGGUCAAACGUUUUCUGGAAGUCUUCACAGGGUUUUCACACACUGUUGCUGGUAUUUUGGCCCAUUCCUCCAUGCAGAUCUCCUCUAGAGCAGUGAUGUUUUGGGGCUGUUGCUGGGCAACACAGACUUUCAACUCUCUCCAAAGAUUUCCUAUGGGGUUGAGAUCUGGAGACUGGCUAGGCCACUCCAGGACCUUGAAAUGCUCUUACGAAGCCACUCCUUCGUUGCCCGGGCAGUGUGUUUGGGAUCAUUGUCAUGCUGAAAGACCCAGCCACGUUUCAUCUUCAAUGCCCUUGCUGAUGGAAGGAGGUUUUCACUCAAAAAUCUCACGAUACAUGGCCCCAUUCAUUCUUUCCUUUACACGGAUCAGUCGUCCUGGUCCCUUUGCAGAAAAACAGCCCCAAAGCAUGAUGAUUCCACCCCCAUGCUUCACAGUAGGUAUGGUGUUCUUUGGAUGCAACUCAGCAUUCUUUGUCCUCCAAACACGACGAGCUGAGUUUUUUCCAAAAAGUUAUAUUUUGGUUUCAUCUGACCAUAUGACAUUCUCCCAAUCUUCUUCUGGAUCAUCCAAAUGCUCUCUAGCAAACUUCAGACGGUCCUGGACAUGUACUGGCUUAAGCAGGGGGACACGUCUGGCACUGCAGGAUUUGAGUCACUGGCGGCGUAGUGUGUUACUGAUGGUAGGCUUUGUUACUUUGGUCCCAGCUCUCUGCAGGUCAUUCACUAGGUCCCCCCGUGUGGUUCUGGGAUUUUUGCUCACCGUUCUUGUGAUCAUUUUGACCCCACGGGGUGAGAUCUUGCGUGGAGCCCCAGAUCGAGGGAGAUUAUCAGUGGUCUUGUAUGUCUUCCAUUUCCUAAUAAUUGCUCCCACAGUUGAUUUCUUCAAACCAAGCUGCUUACCUAUUGCAGAUUCAGUCUUCCCAGCCUGGUGCAGGUCUACAAUUUUGUUUCUGGUGUCCUUUGACAGCUCUUUGGUCUUGGCCAUAGUGGAGUUUGGAGUGUGA
rnacentral:lncRNA from 13 species